CAUGCAGUCGAGCGGAACGAUGAUAGCUUGCUAUCAUGGCGUCGAGCGGCGGACGGGUGAGUAAUACUUAGGAAUCUGCCCAGUAGUGGGGGAUAGCUCGGGGAAACUCGAAUUAAUACCGCAUACACCCUACGGGGAAAAGGGGGCGCUUGCGCUCUCGCUAUUGGAUGAGCCUAAGUCGGAUUAGCUAGUUGGUGGGGUAAAGGCCUACCAAGGCGACGAUCUGUAGCUGGUCUGAGAGGAUGAUCAGCCACACCGGGACUGAGACACGGCCCGGACUCCUACGGGAGGCAGCAGUGGGGAAUAUUGGACAAUGGGGGGAACCCUGAUCCAGCCAUGCCGCGUGUGUGAAGAAGGCCUUUUGGUUGUAAAGCACUUUAAGCAGUGAAGAAGACUCUAUGGUUAAUACCCAUAGACGAUGACAUUAGCUGCAGAAUAAGCACCGGCUAACUCUGUGCCAGCAGCCGCGGUAAUACAGAGGGUGCAAGCGUUAAUCGGAAUUACUGGGCGUAAAGCGAGCGUAGGUGGCUUAAUAAGUCAGAUGUGAAAUCCCCGGGCUUAACCUGGGAACUGCAUCUGAUACUGUUAGGCUAGAGUAGGUGAGAGGGAGGUAGAAUUUCAGGUGUAGCGGUGAAAUGCGUAGAGAUCUGAAGGAAUACCGAUGGCGAAGGCAGCCUCCUGGCAUCAUACUGACACUGAGGUUCGAAAGCGUGGGUAGCAAACAGGAUUAGAUACCCUGGUAGUCCACGCCGUAAACGAUGUCUACUAGUCGUUGGGGAACUUGAUUCCUUAGUGACGCAGCUAACGCAAUAAGUAGACCGCCUGGGGAGUACGGCCGCAAGGUUAAAACUCAAAUGAAUUGACGGGGGCCCGCACAAGCGGUGGAGCAUGUGGUUUAAUUCGAUGCAACGCGAAGAACCUUACCUGGUCUUGACAUAUCUAGAAUCCUGCAGAGAUGCGGGAGUGCCUUCGGGAAUUAGAAUACAGGUGCUGCAUGGCUGUCGUCAGCUCGUGUCCUGAGAUGUUGGGUUAAGUCCCGCAACGAGCGCAACCCUUUUCCUUAUUUACCAGCGGUUCGGCCGGGGACUCUAAGGAUACUGCCAGUGACAAACUGGAGGAAGGCGGGGACAACUUCAAGUCAUCAUGGCCCUUAC
rnacentral:rRNA from 1 species